ensembl:lncRNA
UCCGCACACACUGCUACUCCUACAUACAUACAAAUAAAAAGUUGACCUGUCACUACAGGACUUGCUUCAAGCUGUGGGUCAGGAGGAUAAGCAUCUGCAGGUGAUUGAAACUCAAACUGCUGCUUUGCUGAGGAGCUGCACUUUAGAGGGUCAGGCAGCCCUGUCUCAGGAUGUCCAGGCUCUGCUUAAUAAGAGGUCAAUGCUGCAGAAGUCCAUUGACAAACAGCUUGGCCGUCUAGGAUAUCAGAAGACAGAAAAAGGAUGUUUUGAGGUGGCUUCUGACAAUACAGAGCAGGACAUGGAUACUGGAGAUACCCAGAUCAGAAUGGAACCACAUCCUUCAAACCAAGUUCUUCAGCCUACAUCUAUAAUUAAAGACAUAGCAGAUUCUGCUGCUUCAUGUCCUCCUCAGCAGCACUGUAAUGCUCUUGAACCUGACUCUGUCAUAGCUCUAGACACCGAUCUUUCCACAUCCAAACAAGAAAGACCUAUGUUGGAUCCUGUAGAUCCCCCCCCUCUACAAGAUGUGCCUGAUUGUACUUCUUUCCUUACAUUACAGCAAGAUGAGGCCACGAAAACAGAAUGCAAAGACACCACUCACAAUGCCAAUGUUACAAGCCAACAGUGGGCUGAAAGCUGUCCUGACAAGCCAGCUCCCAAGAACAUGGCUACCAUAGUUUUAGAUACUGUAUCAAAUCCACAGACACUGAAACCUGACAAGCAAGUAGAGUCAUCUAAAGAUGUGGACACUAAUACAGGAAAAUUCCCUUUUUAUCCUGACGAUGCUAAAUCUAUGGACUCUAAAGCCAAGAGGACAAAAUGUGAGGGAACCAGGAAUCUCAUACGGUCCUCAGGUAGUGUAAAGGAAAUACAGUCAGCUGUGCUCGCAGAAGCAGUGCAAUCAGACCAGGCUGCAAAUGCUUGUAUUGAACACCUUCAGACACAUGUUAGUACAAAGAGUUCCACUGAAGAAGCAGAUGUGCUGGAAUCAAGUCAGUGGGCCACAGAUGGUCAUCAAGCUGCUACAGUAUCAGCCAAGGGUAUUACAGAAGCAGAUGUGUUGCACAAUCCAAGAAAUGAUAAAACAAAUGAGUGUAAUUCCAGAUCAGUUUCCUACCAGGAGAAUUCCACAUCUGUGGUGAUGCAAGAGGUGGUGAUCCCAAAUGAUAGGAAGACAAAUGAACCGGACGCUGACCAGGCAGAUGCUCAAAAUAGUGAGUGUUCAAAGCCUUGCCAUAGUGCAAAGAGGAUGAUUUUGGAUUCUAAUGAGAAAAACUGUAAGGAAAAUAGGACAAUAGAGACCUCUACCUUCAAACACAUGAGUGCAGUCAGCUCGCCAUGUCAUCAGACAGGUGACACAAAGUUUCCAGACACUACAGACGCAACAUUCAGCCUGAGCUAUACAGCAAAACCUAUGGACUUGUUAAUUACAGACAGUAAGCAAGAGGAGGCUAAGAGCACCACACAGAUAGACUUGAUGAAUUCCCUGCAAAGGGAGAAUAUGGAUGGAAGACAAGCUACUGCAACGAACAGUGACUCAGUGGCAAUGAAUUGUCAGAAUUCUGAAACCACUAUCACAGUGCCAUUACAGCGGGAGUUCCAUGCAGAACCAAGCUCAAAGGACAACUCAGAUUCAGACAGAAAUGCCUGCUCACAGGUAGAAGAAAUGUUCAGAUCUGGUGUGUCUGGAGGAGGACAAGAUGAAAACAGGGGCUCCAAAGACAGAAAUAAGGAGAGUAGGAGACACAUCCAAGACCAACCCGCUGAAGUGUCAGGAUGGACGAGGUUAUUGGACAUCAUCACAAAUGUUCAGCCACUAAUGGAUACAAACACUGUGUACCCAGAGAAUCAGUCUAGAAGGGGUACCUGGUUCCUGGAGCCAACACUCACAGACUCAGAGAACCGACUGGAACGGACUGUCCUUAGGGUUCUGAGAUGUCGAUACCAACCAGCCCAGCUCAACACUGAACUUAUGACCCGGCAACUUCAGGAAGCUGAGGUCUGCUUGUUUAUGAGCCUCUCAUGUUUAUAAACCAAGUACCUGAUAAGGCAAGGCCUUGAG